rnacentral:lncRNA from 1 species
GGAAGCCGCCGGGGCCGCCUAGAGAAGAGGCUGUGCUUCGGCGCUCCGGCUCCUCAGAGAGCCUCGGCUAGGUGUGGAAACAGGAAGAGAACUAGAACUGGAAGUAAAGCAUUGAAGAUGUGACUGAAUUGCUGCAAUCUCAUGAUCAAAUUUGAAUGGAUGAGGAGUUGCUUUUUAGGGAUGAGCAAAGAAAGUGGUUUCUCGAGAUGGAAUCUACUGGUUGCUCCUUGAGGGCAGGACAGUUCUUAUGGCUUUAUCCGUUGCGUAAGCACAGAGAGGUCUGCGAGGUCAAAACUAUUGUCAUGAUAGCAAGAUGCCUGUCUUUUUCAUUUAUUCUCACGGUGUGCAGAGGCUACAUGAUGUGUGAUGACAUCCUCAUUGAUGUUAAUGAAUGGUGCUAUACUUGAAUUUUCUAAGGUGUCAUUAGGUAGGUUUAGGUAUGCAUACUUGUUUUUAGAAAUUAUUUUUUUCCUUUUUCCCAUUUUUAGAAAUCAACUCAUUUUUUAGGUUAUGCCUUCAGUAAUCUUUGCAACCUCAAUAUUGUGUAAUGGUUACUUUAAAAUACUGUAGUUUUCUUUGUGCCUAAGUAUAAACAUAAGUACAUUUUGUUGUUUUGUUUGCAAUAGUGGUUUAAAUAUUUUCCCAAAAUAUCCAAAUUUAAAAAUUCUACAACUUUAGAAUUUAAUAAAUUUAUUCUAAAAUAUUUAUAUAUUUUUUCAUUUAAGAAUGGAUCGGCUUAAAAAGACUGCUUCUCAUUUACUUACUGGCUAUACCAUCUGUAUACUAAUAAAAAACAAGAUUUGAUUUGGAAGGACUGACUCAAACUAACGAAAAUAUGAAACCUGUCUUUCUGCUUUGGAGAUAUUUACCUAAUCAUGUUCUGCAGUAGAAUAAUUUAGUUCUUUUGUCUUUUUUUGGAGAUGAGGUCUUGCUGUGUUGCCCAGGCUAUUCACAGCUGCCAUCAUAGUGAACUACAGCCUGAAACUCCUGGGUUCAAGAGAUCCUUCUGCCUCAGCCUCCUGAGUAGCUGGAACUAUAGGCAUGCGCCACCAAGCCUGGGCUUUUAAAAAAAUUUUAAAAAGAAUUUUGAGACAGGAUCUUGCCAUGUUGCUCAGGCUAGUCUUCAACUCCUAGCCCUGAGUGAUCUUGCUUUGGGCCUCUCAAAAUGUUGAGUUAAUAGGCGUGAGCCACCAUACCCAGCCAAAAAUUUUUUUAGAGAUGGGAAUGGAAUGAUCUUGAAUAGUGUUGGUGCCACCUAUGUUGUGGCAUCAUUUUGAAACCAAUCAUUCAGAGUGCUUUUUUUGGUAAGGCAUUAUUUUUUAAUGCAGGUAUGCCACUACUGGGAAAAAAAAAAAAACAGGUUUUAAAGCUAGAAAUGAAAAGCUACUUAAGUAUCUUAAAGGAUAAGUUACUUUAUUAUACACUAGAAACAUACACAAUAGCUGAAAAACUUAAAAAAUCUCACACUGCUGAAUGUCUCUGCUGGCUGAAGUGUAAGUAAAAGAUCAUAGUAGUGCCGCUGUUGAGUGAUAAAGCAACUUGUCAUUAAAGAUGUGUGUGCAGACAUGGAUUCUGAGUUAAUAUCUCAUCUGUAGAAGUAUAUAUUUGUCCCUUGCUUUGGGAUUGGUUUCUGGACAGCACUCCCCCACCCUUGCUGGCCAUUUGCCAAGGACACCAAAACCCAAGGAUGUUGAAUUCCCUUUUAUAAAAUGGCGCUGUAUCUGCAUACAACUUACACACAUCCUCCCAUAUACUUUAAAUCAUUUCCAGAUUUCUUAUACUUCAUACAAUGUGAAUGCUAUAUAAAUAGUUGUUACAUUGUGUACUUAUAUUUGUACUAUUGUAUUAAAUAUUCUCAAAUAUUUUCAAGCA